UCGCCUGCAUGAAGGUGGGAAAUUGCUAGUAAUCGCGAAUCAGAAUGUCGCGGUGAAUACGUUCCCGGGCCUUGUACACACCGCCCGUCACACCAUGAGAGUCGAUAACACCCGAAGCCUGUGAGCUAACCUUUCAGGAGGCAGCAGUCGAAGGUGGGGUUGAUGAUUGGGGUGAAGUCGUAACAAGGUAUC
rnacentral:rRNA from 1 species